GACGAACGCUGGCGGCGUGCUUAACACAUGCAAGUCGAACGGAAAGGCCCUGCUUUUGUGGGGUGCUCGAGUGGCGAACGGGUGAGUAACACGUGAGUAACCUGCCCUUGACUUUGGGAUAACUUCAGGAAACUGGGGCUAAUACCGGAUAGGAGCUCCUGCUGCAUGGUGGGGGUUGGAAAGUUUCGGCGGUUGGGGCUGGACUCGCGGCUUAUCAGCUUCUUGGUGAGGUAGUGGCUUACCAAGGCUUUGACGGGUAGCCGGCCUGGGAGGGUGACCGGCCACAUUGGGACUGAGGUACGGCCCAGACUCCUACGGGAGGCAGCAGUGGGGAAUAUUGCACAAUGGGCGGAAGCCUGAUGCAGCAACGCCGCGUGCGGGAUGACGGCCUUCGGGUUGUAAACCGCUUUCGCCUGUGACGAAGCGUGAGUGACGGUAAUGGGUAAAGAAGCACCGGCUAACUACGUG
rnacentral:rRNA from 1 species